GAGGAAAUAGAAUAGAUUUUGAUUGGUGGUUCUAUAGUUUACGGAUGUAUGUGUCCGAGCCACCUUUCUCCCACUCCAGCUGCCUCUAAUCUCUGACUGGUGCUGGCAGGAAAUCCACAACAGAAGGCAGCACAUUGCAUGGAAUUUACGUUAUAGAUAAUGCUCUGCCCUUAUAGACAUACUACUUUCAAUUGAUGAUUAAAUGCCAGGAACCAUGGCAGAGCUAAGGGCAGAUAUUUAUACCUCUAAAACACAAGCGGAGACCUCUGCAUAGGAGUGGCCCUGCAGAGACCAAGUCCAUGGGCAUUACUUACUUAACUCAUUAAAGGAAAUACGUGGGUAACCAGAGCUGCAAUGGAAGGCAGAUCUCCAGCUAUUCAGAGCACUCCCAAGCCUGAAUCAACAGCCUGAGCUGUCCCACCCUUCCAAUGCAUAGAUCACGGUGUGGGUGGGGGGCAGCAGGGCUGUUUAUACACAGGCAGAUCUCCAGAGAUUAGGAGCACAUGCUCCCCUGGUUCAGCAGCUUAAAUUGCCUCAUGCUUUCUAGGCAUAGAUCAUGGUACAGUGGGGCCCUCUCUGCUCCACAUGUAGACAGAUCCCCAGGCAUUUGGAGUACCUGCUCACCUGAACCAGCGGCCUGAGCUAGCCCACUCCUCCUGGGC
rnacentral:lncRNA from 1 species